GGAGAGAGGGUCUUAAGUUGAAAUACCCAUUCCAUUUCUCUCUUUCCAAGAAUUUUUCUCAUAUCUCCCCCUCUCCAAGGGGUGUUACAUUGUUCUAUACCCAUACAUUUAAGUAAUUUAGGGUCUUUAUUGUGUUUGAUAAAGCGUUUUGAUACAGAAUGGUUUUCAUAUCCCUUAGUAAUAUUUCGACAAUGUUCGGCUAAUCUUAUUUUUAAACAUCUUUUAGUCAUGCCUAUGUAUUGCAGCCCGCAAGGGCAUUCUAGAAGAUAGAUAAUAUUUUUCGAUUUACAACCAAUAAAAUCUUUUAUAGGGUAUGACUUGCCUGUGUUAGUCGAGGAAAAGUGAGUGGUCUUAGAUUUGAUUAAUGAAUUUGUG